CACUGCCCGGUAGCUAAAUGCGGAAGAGAUAAGUGCUGAAAGCAUCUAAGCACGAAACUUGCCCCGAGAUGAGUUCUCCCUGAGACUUAGAGUCUCCUGAAGGAACGUUGAAGACGACGACGUUGAUAGGCCGGGUGUGUAAGCGCAGCGAUGCGUUGAGCUAACCGGUACUAAUGAACCGUGAGGCUUAACCUUACAACGCCGAAG
rnacentral:rRNA from 9 species